rnacentral:rRNA from 1 species
UGGGGAAUAUUGCACAAUGGGCGCAAGCCUGAUGCAGCCAUGCCGCGUGUAUGAAGAAGGCCUUCGGGUUGUAAAGCACUUUCAGCGGGGAGGAAGGCGGUGAGGUUAAUAACCUCAUCGAUUGACGUUACCCGCAGAAGAAGCACCGGCUAACUCCGUGCCAGCAGCCGCGGUAAUACGGAGGGUGCAAGCGUUAAUCGGAAUUACUGGGCGUAAAGCGCACGCAGGCGGUCUGUCAAGUCGGAUGUGAAAUCCCCGGGCUCAACCUGGGAACUGCAUUCGAAACUGGCAGGCUAGAGUCUUGUAGAGGGGGGUAGAAUUCCAGGUGUAGCGGUGAAAUGCGUAGAGAUCUGGAGGAAUACCGGUGGCGAAGGCGGCCCCCUGGACAAAGACUGACGCUCAGGUGCGAAAGCGGGGGGAGCAAACAGG